CCAACACCCACUGCUCAGGAGUUGCGACAAGCGGCUUGGCAUGCCCUCACCCAAGAUGGCGCCACCCGUUGUUUGCCAACCCUAAACAAAUGGUGAAAAGUUAUAUAUAUUCAUCAAAACCAACUUGGAAAGAGCUGAUUCAAUUAGAUAUUCUCCUCUUGGUGAGGUACAUCCAGCUUGUCCACAGAUAUAAUCCUUACUGGCAAAAGCAGGGAAGGAACAGAAGGCGUCGCUGAAGCCUUGCAGCCUGGGCCAAGCUGUCUUUCCAUCUGGAAUGUCGGUGGUCCCAGUAAUAAUCAUAAUAUUAAACACGGAAGAGCUGUCCGGGGGGAUUGCUUGCUCCCUGCCAACCCCUUCCUCAAAUAUAAUAAGCUGACAUUUUGCCACCGGGGAGCGGUGAAAUAUGAGAGAGACGCAGAUGGAGAGAAAGGCGAAAAGAAAACUCCAGUAAACUCAACUUUGUUUGCUAAUUCCUCCCGCCUUUUGUUCUUUCUGUAGAAACAAGCCUCUUUGGCGUGGCUGGUUGUUAGACCACAUGGCUUGUUCCUGGCCGAAAGAAUGCAUGGUGUCUGUAAGCUAUGCGUUGGGAUCGAUUUCUGAAGCCUGUGGUGAAAAUUCUCCCCUGGUUUUUCCUGUUUACAUGGAAUUUUAGAGUUGGAAGGUAUCCCCCAACGGUCAUCUAGUCUCUACAAUUCUGGAAUCACGGCUAAGGAAUCCCUGACAGAUGGCCAUUCAACCUUUGCUUAAAAACCUCCAAGGAAGAAGAGCCCACCAUCUCUGGAGUCUGUUCCACUGUCGAACAGCUCUUCCUGGCAGAAGGUUUUUCUGUAUGCUUAGUCAGAAUCUCCUUUCUCGUAACUUGAAGCCAUGGGUUCGAGUCCUACCCUCCACAGCAGGAGAAAACAAGCUUGUUCCUUCUUCAAUGUGACAGCCCUUAAGAUAUUUGAAGAUGGCCACUCUAUCUCCUCUCAGUCUCCUCUUUCUCAGGCUAAACAUCCCCAGCUCCUUCAACCAUUCCUCAUCAGGCUUGGUUUCCAGACCCUUGAUCAUCUUGGUUUCCCUCCUCUGCUCAUGUUCCAGCUUGUCAAAAUCCUUCUUAAAUUGUGGUGCCCAGAACUGGACACAGUAUUCCAGGUGUGGUCUGACCAAGGCUGAAUAGGGUGGGACUAUUACUUCCCUUGAUUUGGACUCUAGAUUUCUGUUGAUGCAGCCUACAAUAGUGUUAGCUUUUUUUGGCUGCUGCAUCACACUGUGGACUCAUGUUCAACUUGUGGUCCACAAAGACCCCUAGAUCCUUUUCACAUGUGCUACUAGUAAUACUGGUGACCCCCAUCUUAUAUUUGUGCACCAGUCUAUCCCUGCAGGUAUAAACACUAUUAAAACUGGGAUCAGGUAUAGUAAAAGGUAAAGGUGAAGGACUCCUGGACAGUAAAGUCCAGUCAAAGGUGACUAUGGGGUUGUGGCACUCAUCUCACUUUCAGGGAGCUGGCAUUUGUCCACAGACAGCUUUCCAGAUCGCGUGGCCAGCAGGACUAAACCGCUUCUGGCACAAUGGGACACUGUGAUGGAAACCAGAGCGCAUGGAAACGCUGUUUACCUUCCCGCCGGAGUAGUACCUAUUUAUCUACUUGCACUGGUAUGCUUUUGAACUGCUAGGUUGGCAGGAGCUGGGACAGAGCAACAGGAGCUCACCCCGUCGUGGGGAUUCAAACCGCCAACCUUCUGAUCAGCAAGCCCAAGAGGCCCAGUGGUUUAGACCACAGCACCACCCUAGGGAUCAUGUAUAACUUCCCCCAUAACAGCCGGUCUGCAAAUUCCUAUCUUGAAUCCAUGAAUGCAAACCGAACUCUGCAGGCACCGCUUCCCGUUAGCUUAUUUUAUUUGCGAUGGUUGAUUUGCUGUAUUAUUAUGUCAUCCUCUUUUUAUUUCAACAGGCCCACGUUCCCGUUAGAAAGUUCUGGUGUGGAUUUAGCAUUUGAAGAGGGCGGCAUUGACUUUCUCGGCCUCUGGAGAAGAUGGCUCAGAUAAUAGAUGCCGAGGCACUUUGAGUAUCUGAAACCAGAUAUAAAAAUGUUAAGUGUUGUGAUCGCAUUAGGCUCUCUGCCUUGAGCGAGUUCUCUCGCACGCACGCCUUUUUAUUUUAUUCCUCUUCAAAUUAGCCAUGAGGUUCCUGUCUCAACUGUGGUGAAGAUUUGAGAGCGCCGACAACACAGCCUGAUCCCUGUUAUCUCGAGGCAGCAAACCUGCACCAUUUGUGCUGAAUUUUCAUGAUGCCCCGCAGACUUUGUCUACAUUACCUUUACUCCGAUUCCAGAGCGCUCCCACCGCUGGUAUUUAACACCAAGGUUACAUCCUUACAUAUCUGUAAGAAUUCGAUCUUAUAUACUUCGGAACUCCCUGCCACUUGACAUCAGACAAGUGCCUUCACUGCACCCUU
rnacentral:lncRNA from 1 species